rnacentral:rRNA from 1 species
GCUGGAAUUGCUGUAAUGGCAGGUCAGCAUACUGCCGUGAAUACGUUCCCGGGCCCUUGUACACACCGCCCGUCACACCAUGAGAGUUGGAAAUACCCGAAGCCUGUGAGCUAACUGUAAAGAGGCAGCAGUCGAAGGUAGAGCCAAUGAUUGGGGUGAAGUCGUAACAAGGUAGC